GAUGAAGAACGCAGCGAAAUGCGAUAAGUAAUGUGAAUUGCAGAAUUCAGUGAAUCAUCGAAUCUUUGAACGCACCUUGCGCUCCUUGGUAUUCCUUGGAGCAUGCCUGUUUGAGUAUCAUGAAAUUCUCAAAGUAAAUCUUUUUGUUAAUUCAAUUGGAUUCACUUUGGAUUUGGAGGUCUUUUGCAGCUUCACACCUGCUCCUCUUUGUGCAUUAGCUGGAUCUCAGUGUUAUGCUUGGUUCCCAUCGGCGUGAUAAAUUAUCUAUCGCUGAGGACACUUUUUUUUUUCUUAAAAAAAAAAUAAAGGUGGCCAAGGGAAAUGCAGAUGAACCGCUUCCAAUAGUCCAUUAGCUUGGACAAAAUAUAUUUAUGAUCUGAUCUCAAAUCAGGUAGGACUACCCGCUGAACUUAAGCAUAUCAAUAAGCGGAGGA
rnacentral:misc_RNA from 1 species